rnacentral:rRNA from 1 species
GAUGAACGCUGGCGGCGUGCCUAAUACAUGCAAGUCGAGCGAACAGACGAGGAGCUUUCUCCUCUGACGUUAGCGGCGGACGGGUGAGUAACACGUGGAUAACCUACCUAUAAGACUGGGAUAACUUCGGGAAACCGGAGCUAAUACCGGAUAACAUGUUGAACCGCAUGGUUCAACAGUGAAAGACGGUCUUGCUGUCACUUAUAGAUGGAUCCGCGUCGCAUUAGCUAGUUGGUAAGGUAACGGCUUACCAAGGCGACGAUGCGUAGCCGACCUGAGAGGAUGAUCAGCCACACUGGAACGGAGACACGGCCCAGACUCCUACGGGAGGCAGCAGUGGGGAAUUUUGGACAAUGGGCGAAAGCCUGACGGAGCAACGCCGCGUGGAGGAUGAAGGCCUUCGGGUUGUAAAAUUCUUUUGUAGGGAAAGAAAAGCUUUCUAUUAAUACAGGCGGGUCUGGACGGUACCGAAAGAAAAAGCACCGGCUAACUACGUG